AAAGAUUAAGCCAUGCAUGUAUAAGUAUAAACGCUCUGAAGCGUGAAACCGCGAACGGCUCAUUACAACAGCUAUAAUUUACUUGAUCUUGACAUCCUACUUGGAUAACUGUGGUGAUCCUAGAGCUAAUACAUGCACCAAAGCUCCAACCCGCAAGGGAAGAGCGCAUUUAUUAGAACAAAACCAAGCGGCUUCGGCUGCCCAAUGUUGACUCAGAAUAACUAAGCUGAUCGCAUGGUCUUGUACCGGCGACGUGUCUUUCAAGUAUCUGCCUUAUCAACUUUCGAUGGUACUGUCAUUGACUACCAUGGUGGUGACGGGUAACGGAGGAUCAGGGUUCGACUCCGGAGAAGGGGCCUGAGAAAUGGCCACUACGUCUAAGGAUGGCAGCAGGCGCGCAAAUUACCCACUCUCAGAACAACUAGAGGAGGUAGUGACGAGAAAUAACGAGACCGUUCUCAACAGAGGCCGGUCAUCGGAAUGGGUACAAUUUAAACCCUUUAACGAGUAUCUAUGAGAGGGCAAGUCUGGUGCCAGCAGCCGCGGUAAUUCCAGCUCUCAAAAUGCAUAGAAUUAUUGCUGCGGUUAAAAAGCUCGUAGUUGGAUCUGUGCUGGCAUGCCGGUCCAUCUUCGGAUGUGUACUGGUUCAUUGUCGGCUUUCCUGCAGUUUUAUCCGGCUCUAUGCCCUUCGCUGGGCGUAGUUGUUCGGUGCUGCAAGUUUACUUUGAACAAAUCAGAGUGCUCUAAACAGGCGUUUCGCUUGAAUGUUCGUGCAUGGAAUAAUAGAAGAGGAUUUCGGUUCUAUUUUAUUGGUUUUAUAGACUGAGAUAAUGGUUAACAGAGACAAACGGGGGCAUUCGUAUUGCUACGUGAGAGGUGAAAUUCUUGGACCGUAGCAAGACGAACUACAGCGAAAGCAUUUGCCAAGAAUG
rnacentral:rRNA from 1 species